AGUGGGAACAUGCUAGAGAUAAUGAAGGGAGGAAAAGUGAUAACAUGGUGUUGAUUAACUUUGUAUAUUUAGACUGUUUUCAUACAUUUCAUUGCUUUGCCACUAUUGUCUGUUCUCCUGUUGCACACAUAUAGCUCAAUUAAGGAACAUGCAGACGGUGUGUGUCGAUCAGUCAAGCAGAGUGUGUGUAACUAGAUACAGUACAGGGAACGAGUGAGGUAAUGAGACAUCCAAACAGAGCUAUGAAGCAAGGAGAUGGUCUGAUACUCGAGUUGAGAGAAAGAAACAGACGGAGAGAUGAACCGAUGAGCUCCGAACACCGAGAAGUAAACAAGCCAAGGCUGUACUCUGUCUCUACCUGUGUGACCCCGUGACAAUGUGACUAAUGGCCCAGAAACAUACAAGGACCAGGGGAAGGGACCAGUGAUGGAGGCGCAGAACAACUCAGGUGGACAGUGCGCUCUGUGGAAGACUAGAGCAGCUCCCGGAGAAAACAGAGAGGGAGAUGUAAGGAGAGGCAAGAUGUUGAGUCGGAGAAAAGAGGAGGGGAGAAAGAAAGAUGAGAAAACAUCUGGAGUCCAGGAUUGAGGAGAAUACAAUGGAGUAUAAAAAGAACAUAUUUUUGGA